UACGUAGGGGGCAAGCGUUGUCCGGAUUUAUUGGGCGUAAAGAGCGUGUAGGCGGCUUCACAGGUCUGCUGUGAAAACUCGAGGCUCAACCUCGAGCUGUCGGUGGAAACCGUGGGGCUAGAGUCCGGAAGAGGAGAGUGGAAUUCCCGGUGUAGCGGUGAAAUGCGCAGAUAUCGGGAAGAACACCGAUGGCGAAGGCAGUGUUCUGGGCCAGUACUGACGCUGAGGAGCGAAAGCGUGGGGGAGCAAACAGG
rnacentral:rRNA from 1 species